rnacentral:rRNA from 1 species
UACGUAGGGUGCAAGCGUUGUCCGGAAUUAUUGGGCGUAAAGAGCUCGUAGGCGGUUUGUUGCGUCGGCUGUGAAAUCCCGGGGCUCAACCUCGGGUCUGCAGUCGAUACGAGCAAACUAGAGUGUUGCAGGGGAGACUGGAAUUCCUGGUGUAGCGGUGAAAUGCGUAGAUAUCGGGAGGAACACCUGUGGCGAAGGCGGCCCCCUGGUUGGAUACUGACGCUGAUACGCGAAAGCGUGGGGAGCAAACAGG